rnacentral:tRNA from 1 species
AUUUAAAUAGCUUAUUUAGAGUAUAAUAUUGAAGAUAUUAAGGAGAUAAAAUUUAUCUUUAAAUA